UUACUUCUUGAUAAUGAAUGAUCAGUCUCUCUCUCAGUGCAAUAGGUUCUUUGCACUAGGUCCCAACCUACAAUGGCUAGUGCUUAUGAAACCAGAAAUGUCUGAGCAUUAUUUUACACUUGCAUUGACUUUGUACUUUUGCCUGUCAGAAUUUAUUUUUUAUGUGUGCUGUUUCAAGUUCAUUGUAAUGUGUUUGAAACAAAAAGUUGUAUUGUUAAUUCAUUGGAAAAUAGACUGAGCUGUGUCUAUAUAUAUUAUAUAUAUAUAUAAAUAAGAAUCCUAUUGUUUACAUAUAUUUAUCACUAUCAAUGUUGUAUUGAAUCUGUCCAGUUGAAAUAAUCAGCUAUGCUUGAAAUUAAACAUUUGAGUACAUAUGUACAUUGGAAUCAUUCAGACAAAAAAAAUAAAAAUGUACAAACUUAAU